rnacentral:rRNA from 1 species
AUUGAACGCUGGCGGCAUGCCUUACACAUGCAAGUCGAACGGCAGCACGGGGGCAACCCUGGUGGCGAGUGGCGAACGGGUGAGUAAAGCAUCGGAACGUACCCGGAAGUGGGGGAUAACGUAGCGAAAGUUACGCUAAUACCGCAUAUUCUGUGAGCAGGAAAGAGGGGGAUCGCAAGACCUCUCGCUUUCGGAGCGGCCGAUGUCGGAUUAGCUAGUUGGUGGGUAAAGGCCUACCAAGGCGACGAUCCGUAGCUGGUCUUAGAGGAUGAUCAGCCACACUGGGACUGAGACACGGCCCAGACUCCUACGGGAGGCAGCAGUGGGGAAUUUUGGGACAAUGGGGGCAACCCUGAUCCAGCCAUGCCGCGUGAGUGAAGAAGGCCUCGGUUGUAAGACUCUUCGGUACAGAAAGAAAUACGCACAGGAUAAUAACCUUAGUGUGGAUGACGGUACGUGUCAUAAGAAGACACCGGCUAACUAACGUGCCAGCAGCCGCGGUAA